UACGUAGGGUGCAAGCGUUGUCCGGAAUUAUUGGGCGUAAAGCGCGCGCAGGUGGUUUCUUAAGUCUGAUGUGAAAGCCCACGGCUCAACCGUGGAGGGUCAUUGGAAACUGGGGAACUUGAGUGCAGAAGAGGAAAGUGGAAUUCCAAGUGUAGCGGUGAAAUGCGUAGAGAUUUGGAGGAACACCAGUGGCGAAGGCGACUUUCUGGUCUGUAACUGACACUGAGGCGCGAAAGCGUGGGGAGCAAACAGG
rnacentral:rRNA from 1 species